UCGUGAAAAACUGUAAUACUCUUAUUAUAACAAUAAAAUAAGAAGCAUACUGCGUUUAUUUCAAAUAAAACAUAUUAUUCUAGCCAAUAUUGGGAAAAAUAUUCGAUACAUUUAUUAAAAAUAAAACAUUGACGAAUAAUUAUAUGGGAUGCCGUAAAACACUAUAGUUGACGUAGGACACUAUACUCUGUAUUAUUAACUUGUUUCGGGGUUUGUUUUUUAGAUCAUCUAAGAAAAAUUUGAAGUAUUACAUUACGGUUAGUUUUUGUCACCCCUAUUUCAAGGGGUAAAACCUUCUUUAGAUUUUAAAACAAAAUCCUAUAGAUAAAAUUUCGUUAAUAGAUGGAGUAUUAGUUUAACAAUCUCGGCGUUGAAAAGUUUAAUUUCCGUCAAACCGUUGUUGAGAUAUUCCAGUUUUAAGCAGUGACGGGAGGAGAGUAGCGGAACAGUAUUGAAACGCUUUAUGCAAUGCUUCCAAGCAAAUGAUGCACUACUGCUCUCCCAUCGCCGCAACUUAAAAGUGGAAUAAUUUUACAUUUUUUGUGGUUUGGCGGGGAGCAGUGGAACACUAUUCAAGCGACGAGUGUUGCGAUGUAACACAAGUGACGUUCCACUGCUCUCCGUAUUCUGUCUAAAAUUGAAAGUAAAAUAUAUCGCUAACGGUUUGAUGGAAAUUAAAAA